CUCCUACCUGCAGAGGACACAUACAAGCAGAAGAUCAUUUAUGUGUUGUAUCAUCAAAACCAUGAAAAGGGUUCUGUCACCUUCUUAUAAGGUUUUACUUUACAGCACUUCAAAAAGCAUCUCAAGACAUCUGUGAACAAGACAUAUUUUGACAAUUUGAUUAAAAAAGAGCGGGGCCAUCCUCAGCCAGCCGCAGGAUGUAGAGGCCCAUGUUAUACUCCGUUCCUCCUCUCAGGCUAAAGCCAAAACCACGAGGACCGCGUUCCAACUCAACUGCAAUACAGCCCUAGGUGGCGGUUUGCUCUUUGAGGUGAGGAUGACAAAUCCAAAGCCCUCAUUAUCUUUACGAUGGAGUGUGAUAUCAAAUGACUCCUGGUCCUUGAUGCUUGGCACCUGGAUACGCGGAAGACGAGGCCUGAAUGAAGACAACAAUGGCAUUAAUAGGAAGACUUAUUAAAAAGUAAGUAAACAACUCAGCCAUUUUACUGCUUUGUCACAUCAAAAUCAAACUUGAAAUGGCCUGAAAACAUGAUGAUUGUUGGGUUUUUUAGUGAGCAGUCAGCUUGGGGAAAUUAAAGGUACAUCUUCGGGUCUGUGACCAGAGUGUACAAGCUUGAUGACUGCUGAAAAUAAGUUGACUAUUUAAAAGAAAAGCUGAGCAAGAAAAUUAAGAAUAAUGGACAUAAAUUUACAUUUGAUAUACAGUAGGCCUAUAUAAAACAAAAUUGCCUCCCCAAUCCUGGCUGGGGACCCACCUACCGGAAUGUUUUCGACAUCAUGGUGCUGUAACAUAAAAGAGUUUCCUUCCAGCUCAGCAGAG